rnacentral:rRNA from 1 species
CGUAGUCAUAUGCUUGUCUCAAAGAUUAAGCCAUGCAUGUCUAAGUACAUACCUUUGCACGGUGAAACCGCGAAUGGCUCAUUAAAUCAGUUAUGGUUCCUUAGAUCGUUCAUAUUACAUGGAUAACUGUGGUAAUUCUAGAGCUAAUACAUGCAACAAGCUCCGACCUUUUGGGAAGAGCGCUUUUAUUAGACCAAAACCAAUGGGGUCGCAAGAUCCCUUUGUAUGGUGACUCUGGAUAACUUUGUGCUGAUCGCAUGGCCUCGAGCCGGCGACGUAUCUUUCAAGUGUCUGCCCUAUCAACUUUCGAUGGUAAGCGACUUGCCUACCAUGGUUGUAACGGGUAACGGGGAAUCAGGGUUCGAUUCCGGAGAGGGAGCAUGAGAAAUGGCUACCACAUCUACGGAAGGCAGCAGGCGCGCAAAUUACCCACUCCUAGAUCGGGGAGGUAGUGACGAAAAAUAACAAUACCGGACUCAAUGAGGCUCGGUAAUUGAAAUGAGUACAGUUUAAAACCCUUAACGAGGAUCUAUU